AUACGGCGGCUGCGAGCGUUAUCCGGAUUUAUUGGGUUUAAAGGGAGCGUAGGUGGGAUAUUAAGUCAGCUGUGAAAGUUUGGGGCUCAACCUUAAAAUUGCAGUUGAUACUGGUUUCCUUGAGUACGGUACAGGUGGGCGGAAUUCGUGGUGUAGCGGUGAAAUGCUUAGAUAUCACGAAGAACUCCGAUCGCGAAGGCAGCUCACCGGGCCGGAACUGACACUGAUGCUCGAAAGUGCGGGUAUCAAACAGGAUUAGAUACCCUGGUAGUCCGCACAGUAAACGAUGAAUACUCGCUGUUUGCGAUACACGGUAAGCGGCCAAGCGAAAGCGUUAAGUAUUCCACCUGGGGAGUACGCCGGCAACGGUGAAACUUAAAUGAAUUGACGGGG
rnacentral:rRNA from 1 species